rnacentral:rRNA from 1 species
AGGAUUUAAAGGGCCGCGGUAUCCUAACCGUGCAAAGGUAGCAUAAUCAUUAGUCUUUUAAUUGAAGGCUUGUAUGAAUGAUUGGACAAAGUAAUUACUGUCUUUAUUGAAGAAAUUGAAAUUAACUUUAAAGUGAAAAGGCUUUAAUGAUUUAGGGGGACGAUAAGACCCUAUAAAGCGUUUUAUUGGGGUGAUAAAAGUAUAAGUAAUAACUGCUUUAUAUAUUUAAACAUAGUUAUAUGUUUUGAUCCUUGUUAAAGAUUAAUAGAAUAAGUUACUUUAGGGAUAACAGCGUUAUUUUUCUUGAGAGUCCUUAUCGAAAGAAAAGAUUGCGACCUCGAUGUUGAAUUAAAAUUUCUUUAUAAUGCAGAAGUUAUAAAAGAGGGUCUGUUCGACCUUUAAAUUUUU